ensembl:lncRNA
AUUUCUGACAGAACCCCAACACCAGGGAGAAGGCUCAGGCCCUUUGGUGGCCUGGCUGCAUCAGACCGCAGACGGGCCCCCCAGGAAGGACCUGGCCCAGGUGGUGGGGAACCUGAAGGUCCGUGUGAAGGGAGUCAGGAAGCUGAGGGCGGAAACAGAAACCAUGGACCCAGGCCAGACCGCCCAGGACCCAAACCAGCUCCCCAAUGUGCCUGACAGCCCCCCCACAAAGGCCCUGGCCCAGGUCAUGGGGAACCUGAGGUUCCGGGUGAAGGGCCUCAAAAAGAAGAGGGUUCAACCAGCGACCACCUCUCGGCUUGAUGAGGAGAAGCCUUUGGGCCGCCCUUCAGGCCGGAGCCCCUUCCCUGGCCAGACCGCCCCGGACCAAGACCAGACCGCCCCGGACCAAGGCCAGACCGCCCCGGACCCAAGCCAGAUCCCUGAGGAACCUGACAGGGCCCUCAGAAAGGACCUGUCCCAGGUCACGGGGAACAUGAGGACCCGGUUGAGGGGACUCAGGGAGCUCUGGGCUGAGACCCUUACC